rnacentral:ncRNA from 12 species
UAUUGUUGAGGUCGGAAAUGGUUCCCGACGCACCUUGAAAGAGGUACCUGAGAUGCAGGAUACACCGCCCUGCCAGCAACC